rnacentral:ncRNA from 1 species
CUUAUCAAGAGUGGCUGAGGGACAGGCCCUAUGAAGCCCAGCAACCGGAAGUAUUUACGGUGCUAAAUCCUACAAGAUAUGUAUAUCUUGAAAGAUGAGG